GAUGAACGCUGGCGGCGUGCCUAAUACAUGCAAGUCGAGCGAACAGACGAGGAGCUUGCUCCUCUGACGUUAGCGGCGGACGGGUGAGUAACACGUGGAUAACCUACCUAUAAGACUGGGAUAACUUCGGGAAACCGGAGCUAAUACCGGAUAAUAUAUUGAACCGCAUGGUUCAAUAGUGAAAGACGGUUUUGCUGUCACUUAUAGAUGGAUCCGCGCCGCAUUAGCUAGAUGGUAAGGUAACGGCUUACCAAGGCGACGAUGCGUAGCCGACCUGAGAGGGUGAUCGGCCACACUGGAACUGAGACACGGUCCAGACUCCUACGGGAGGCAGCAGUAGGGAAUCUUCCGCAAUGGGCGAAAGCUUGACGGAGCAACGCCGCGUGAGUGAUGAAGGUCUUCGGAUCGUAAAACUCUGUUAUUAGGGAAGAACAAAUGUGUAAGUAACUAUGCACGUCUUGACGGUACCUAAUCAGAAAGCCACGGCUAACUACGUG
rnacentral:rRNA from 1 species